UGGGGAAUAUUGCACAAUGGGCGAAAGCCUGAUGCAGCAACGCCGCGUGAGGGAAGACGGUCUUCGGAUUGUAAACCUCUGUCCUUGGUGAAGAAACAUGACGGUAGCCAUGGAGGAAGCCACGGCUAACUACGUGCCAGCAGCCGCGGUAAUACGUAGGUGGCAAGCGUUGUCCGGAUUUACUGGGUGUAAAGGGAGCGCAGGCGGGAAGGCAAGUCAGCUGUGAAAACUAUGGGCUUAACCCAUAGACUGCAGUUGAAACUGUUUUUCUUGAGUGGAGUAGAGGUAAGCGGAAUUCCGAGUGUAGCGGUGAAAUGCGUAGAGAUUCGGAGGAACACCAGUGGCGAAGGCGGCUUACUGGGCUCUAACUGACGCUGAGGCUCGAAAGUGUGGGGAGCAAACAGGAUUAGAUACCCUGGUAGU
rnacentral:rRNA from 1 species